UCGGAAUUUAUUCCUAUCUCCUUAUUUGUGUGUUUGAAGCGCCCUCUACAACGUUUAUAAGAUACCCAAGGUAUAUUGUUAUAUAUCAACUAAAGCGGUAAUGCUUAAAUAUGAACAUACUUAAAGCGUUAAAAGAUCUUUUAAAACUUUAAACAUACCUAAAUCAAGGAAGACUAUAAACACAUGGAAGUGCAACUUAAAAAGUAUACGCUUUUUUACUGUCAUUCAGAGGUGAUGUUUUAAUUCAAAUAUGAAUUAGUUUACCUUUCUAAGUUGAUUAAGUUGUUAGUUGUUGAUCACACUUCAGCAAAUUUGCCUCCACAUGGUUUAUACGUGUUUUGGAUGUAGUUCAAGCGCAUGUAAGGAUUCUAAAGUGAGCAUUCAUUACUUACCAAUGACGGACUCGAGCAUGUUGGCAAAGUGACUAAUGGUCAUUUUGAGAGACACAAGUUAUUGCUUAUUAGACGCCAUCAGCUAGUUGAAGAUUGUGUUUCAAUCAUUUUAAGUACAAUGAUUUCGUCGCUGUAUAUGUGGACACAAGACGUGAGAAAGGGAACUCAGAUGUUUGAAAGAGAAUGACAUUCCAUCACAAUGGCCUAAUCUUCCUACCUACCUAUAAUCACCACCACCCACUCCUAGACCAACCAGAGCCUUAACUAUCAACCGAAAACUCCAGUUACAAAACAAACGGUUCAAAGCAGAAGUGGAUGAGAGUAUCAACAAACGAUCAUCAUCUUUAAGUCUCCCAAGGCCAGAAGAUACUCUACUUCACUCCUCUCCAUUCCUUGAUGUGAAAAAAUGCCAUUCCAGCACUUAUUGAGAAAAUUUUUACUUCCCAACAUUAUUUCAGUUCUAUGGGCAAGAUAUUUUAAGUCAAUAUUCAGUGUUUUGACAAUUGAAACGGGGCUUCCCAGUUCUACUGUCAAGUAUCUAAAAGUAAGGAUCUAAAGCUCGGAAAGUCGUGAUAAACACGUAACCCUCAUCAUUGAUAAAAUUCAUUCGGUCCAAAGGAUUGAAUUUUUAUGGGGAUUUUUUUUUUUUUUUUUUUUUUGACAGGAAAACAACCAAGCAACUAAAAAAGUCUUCGCUUUCAUGAUCAAGUCUGCAGGAGGCAGUGCAUAUUUUAAAAAUGUAUAUAACUGCUUUCAACUAAAUGACUAUUUUGUUGUUCCCAAUCUUCCCAAAACCUUCUUGGAUCUUAUUUUCUAUGUCCAAACUUUGAAAAGGCUGGAAUACAAAGGUUCAUUGAAAUUGGAAAUCGAGGAAGUGGACAUGUUAUUCUUCUCAUGCUUUUAUGCAUAUUCGCUUUUCAAUUUUAUUUACAAAUAUGACGUGGAGAAGUAUUGCCUCUUUAACGCCCCAAAUCCAAGAGUCUCUACGUUUAUCGGGAGGAUGCUUAAUAGUUUGGAAACAGCUAUUGAUGUCGAAGUGUGAAGAAGAACAUGAAUGGACUAAUAUUUUACAAAAAGCUUGUGUCAUUUCUCUAUAAUGUCAUGUGCAAAAAUACUUUUGCAAGUAUAGUAAAAGAAGAACUUCAGGAAGACCCACCGAAACACAAAGAAAAGUAGUUAAACUGUAUCGUCUUAUGUGUGAAACAACAUUUAUUUUACAUACAGUUUAACUGUAUCAUGCCUUUAUUUAAUAUUUACGUAAGAUAAUUACGAUUUUGAACUGUCUAAUGGCGUCUCAUAAGUUAUGAGACGCAUAAGUAAAGAGACACUAUGUUAUGAGUCAUAACAUAGUGUCUCUUUAUAAAAAUAUGUAUUAAUUUUUGUUUAACUUAUCAUUUCCUAAUUAGUCAUUUUUAUUUAAAAAACUAUAUACUAGUAGAUUAUAAAUUUUCAGUAUUUAGGGUAGAAGUUCUUCGCCGAGCACGCUUUUUCUUUCACCUCCAUGUGUUUCUAGUCUUCUUUGCCUAAAUAUACCUAAUUAAUAGUUAUCUUAUUUGAAUUUGUGCUAAGUGCGGUAUUAUGUUAUGAAUUAUGAUAUUUAUAUUAUUAUUAGGGGCUUUGACGUCAUUAUGAGGACAUUGAUAUCGUAAACAAUAUUAAGAUAAUUUUGUCGAUUUGCCAAUUGACCCCCCCUAAAAAAAUGGGGUCACUCAAAAAUACCAAAUCGAACUUAAGUCCUUGGAGAUCCUUAUUUUUUAAAUAAAAGAUGGAACAUUUUUCUAUAAAUUGAGCUGUGUUACUCCUUAUUACUAUGAAUGAUGAAUAAGUUAUAAAGAUCUCAAAAACAGUGUCGUUUUUUAUCCUUUUUCCGCAUAAAAAUGGAAAUAAGUCAAGUUCAGAAGGAUACAGAAUGAAUAAAACCACUUUAAUAAUCAUAAAAGACCUUUUUAAAUCUGUUGGAUUAAUUUUGCUUUAAUUUCAUGAUUGUCUUAGUGAUAAAAAAUGUCAGAACGAUAAUAGUCUCGAAUUACUAUGAUCUCAAAUGUUUCUGGAACCUGACGACGCAGAGAAAAACUGAGAUUAGUUUUGGAUUAUGCGGUCGAAGAUAGAUUAUAUUCUUAGCUUAAUUUCAUUGGUGAAAAUUUAUAUUCCCUGAGUUAUUCUAGUUUUUUGUGUACUUAGAGAUGAUAGUGAGGAAGAAAUUGUUCCUUUACCUAUUGUCGAAGUUAAUCAUAUAUGUUAAUCAAAGAGACUGAGCCGUUAUUCUGAUAUCAAUAACAUUUUAGUAUAUUUAAAAAAUAAACAGAAUUAACCCAAACUAGCCUCAAGCAUAAAAUACGCCAUUGUGAUAUUGGAAAAAGUAGUACAUCAUCAAGAAUUUAAUUCGAAAAAUCAUAUCAGCUUUAUUAUAGAACAACUUCACCUUCACUCUGUAAGUGUAAUAUAUAAGUAAUAAUAUAAGGACGAAGAUACUUUCCUGAAUUAUUAGGAAUUUCAAUACUUUACCACUAUACAAGCCUAGCUUUUUAUAAUCAAAUUAGAUAAUCUGGAAUUAUUUACUUAUCAUCGAAAUAACGUAUAAGAAGUGUGUUCACAGUUCAAGGAGGAGUGCCAGUCUCAACAAUUUAAAAUCUAGAGUUAAAUUAUAAUAAUUUACGAAGUCUAUUCUUCACAGAGAGUUGAGUAAAAAAAGUUGCGCGCCAAAAAGAAGAUAUCCUAUAAUUACUUAACUGUUCCAAAUAACACUAUCAUCUGUAAUGAGUUUAUCUGUGUGAAGAUCCUAGUUCUUCACUAGAGUAAUAUUCAUAUAAGGUGACACAUAAUUUAGUUGUUUAGAAAAGGAUCCCGACUGAAUACAUAUGAGAAUUGCCAACAUAUUCAGAUAUUUUCAGGCUUUUUGAUCGAAGUUUUUUCUGAUCGGUGAUCAAUUGCGAUAUAAUAUAUCACUGAUCGUAGUAUCGUAAUUGGUCCUGAUCUUUAUAUCGCAACAGAAAUAGAAAAAAAUGCGAUACAAACAAUUUGUAUAAUAGUGAUGUGGUUCUCGAGACCGGUCUGUCUUGAUACUGCUCUCGAGACUGUUGUUUUAUGGUUUUGAUCUCGUCUCGGUCUCUACACAUUAAAGUCUUGGUAUUGAGUCUAAUACACUCCGUCUUGAUUUUCGUCUCGAACUUAACAACCUCGGGCAUGACUUAGUCUCGAUCCUUAUAUACGUCGUGGGAACUGAUUUCGGUCAAAAUUUAUAAAUAGGAAUUUUUGUUACUGCAAAUACUGAAGAGUAAUUUCUUUACCAAACGUCCUAAAAAGAUGUAUACGGCAAAGCAGGAAGUGAAAAGAUACCUAGGUGAUGUCUUUGAAGGUCUGGAAAUGAUGUUGGCCUACCGGAGGCCCAAAAAGGUAAUUGAAAGAUACAAUGUCGUGCUUUUUAGUAGUGUCAGGCAUCGAGCGUUUGUUCUCCAAGGACAAACAGAUCCUGAGGAGGACUAAGUUGAGGUUUAGAGAUAGCAACUUUGAGAAGCAGCUCCUGUUAAUGUCAAAUAAUGAGCCAGAAGAGAAAUAAUUUAUGUAGAUAUUUUAUUAGACUAUAUUUUAGCUUUUUUCUAUAUAUAUUAUAUUUUAUAAUUAUAAUAAAAUUUUGUAAAUAAAUACAUUUGAAAAA
rnacentral:lncRNA from 1 species